GGUUAGAACACCACUCAGAUCGGCAUCGCAACGAUGCCGGUAGAACCCCGCCACGCCGGCAGCGGGCUUCGCUGGCAGUCUAUCUGCCGGGCCUCGCCAUGAGGCCAACAGGAACACCAGUCAAC
rnacentral:ncRNA from 1 species